rnacentral:sRNA from 12 species
UGCAGGAGGAACCCAAUAUGACGGAGUCAUAUUUAAGGAUGGUUCCGACGACUUGCCAACCAGCGAAGGCGAGGGACAACACAAGAU